GUUCAGGUCAGCUUGUUGUGUUGGUGUAGGCACAACCUGCAGCCAUCCUUGACCACCUCAUGAACUAAAACUUGCCCCAGAGCUGGAUAAGAAGAUGUUUGGGCACUGCUGUGUAUUGGGAACUGUCCAAAUGUUCCAACCCCAAGACACUUCGAAAAGACUUCUAAUGAGAAGCUGAGGAGUUGGAAGAAAACAAAUCAGAAUUCUUGAAGUUGGCCAAUGAAGUCCAAGAGAGGACCAGCCUGGAUCUUGCAUCCCAAAAAGCCAAGCUGAGCCUCUGGAGCUCACACCCAGCCAAGCUGAGCCUCUGGAGCUCACACCCAGCCAAGCUGAGCCUCUGGAGCUCACACCCAGCUGGCACAGCUGCCUCUGCCCAGCUGGGAGGAUCCCUGGCCACGGCCAUGUUACACUUUGUAUGGACAAUCAGAGGUAGCUGAAGACUUGCUGUGUGUCAGAGUAGCCUGCUGGGUUGUAAAGACUUGUGAAG